rnacentral:rRNA from 1 species
AGCCGUGUCGGGUGCUCAGAAUGCAAGUCGAACGCGAAAGUUUCCUUCGGGAGACAAGUAGAGUGGCGCACGGGUGAGUAACACGUAGGUAAUCUACCUUUGGAUGGGGAAUAACAACCGGAAACGGUUGCUAAUACCGCAUAAUGCAGCGGCACCUAAUGGUGACAGUUGUUAAAGCGGGGGAUCGAAAGACCUCGCGUCUAAAGAGGAGCCUGCGGCGGAUUAGCUAGUUGGUAAGGUAACGGCUUACCAAGGCAACGAUCCGUAGCCGGCCUGAGAGGGCGGUCGGCCACACUGACACUGACAUACGGGUCAGACUCCUACGGGAGGCAGCAGUCGGGAAUUUUGGGCAAUGGGCGAAAGCCUGACCCAGCAACGCCGCGUGAAGGAUGAAAUCCCUCGGGAUGUAAACUUCGCAAGAACGGGAAGAAUAAGUAGGGGACAAUACCCCCUAUGAUGACGGUACCGUUUGUAAGCUCCGGCUAACUCCGUGCCAGCAGCCGCGGUAAUACGGGGGGAGCAAGCGUUGUUCGGAUUUACUGGGCGUAAAGGGCGCGUAGGCGGCCACCGCAAGUCAAUUGUGAAAUCUCCGGGCUUAACUCGGAAAGGUCAACUGAUACUGCGGGACUAGAGUGCGGAAGGGGCAACUGGAAUUCUCGGUGUAGCGGUGAAAUGCGUAGAUAUCGAGAGGAACACCUGCGGCGAAGGCGGGUUGCUGGGCCGACACUGACGCUGAUGCGCGAAAGCCAGGGGAGCGAACGGGAUUAGAUACCCCGGUAGUCCUGGCCUUAAACGAUGAAUGCUUGGUGUCUGGGGUUAUAAAGUCCCCGGGUGCCGUCGCUAACGCUUUAAGCAUUCCGCCUGGGGAGUACGGUCGCAAGACUGAAACUCAAAGGAAUUGACGGGGACCCGCACAAGCGGUGGAGCAUGUGGGUUUAAUUCGACGCAACGCGAAGAACCU